rnacentral:rRNA from 1 species
GACGAACGCUGGCGGCGUGCUUAACACAUGCAAGUCGAACGGAAAGGCCCUGCUUUUGUGGGGUGCUCGAGUGGCGAACGGGUGAGUAACACGUGAGUAACCUGCCCUUGACUUUGGGAUAACUUCAGGAAACUGGGGCUAAUACCGGAUAGGAGCUCCUGCUGCAUGGUGGGGGUUGGAAAGUUUCGGCGGUUGGGGAUGGACUCGCGGCUUAUCAGCUUGUUGGUGGGGUAGUGGCUUACCAAGGCUUUGACGGGUAGCCGGCCUGAGAGGGUGACCGGCCACAAUGGGACUGAGAUACGGCCCAGACUCCUACGGGAGGCAGCAGUGGGGAAUAUUGCACAGUGGGCGGAAGCCUGAUGCAGCAACGCCGCGUGCGGGAAGACGGCCUUCGGGUUGUAAACCGCUGUCGCCUGUGACGAGGCGUGAGUGACGGUAAUGGGUAAAGAAGCACCGGCUAACUACGUG